UGAAUAAGCCACGGCUAAUUCCGUGCCAGCAGCCGCGGUAAUACGGGAGUGGCAAGCGUUAUCCGGAAUUAUUGGGCGUAAAGCGUCCGCAGGCGGCCCUUCAAGUCUGCUGUUAAAAAGUGGAGCUUAACUCCAUCAUGGCAGUGGAAACUGUUGGGCUUGAGUGUGGUAGGGGCAGAGGGAAUUCCCGGUGUAGCGGUGAAAUGCGUAGAUAUCGGGAAGAACACCAGUGGCGAAGGCGCUCUGCUGGGCCAUCACUGACGCUCAUGGACGAAAGCCAGGGGAGCGAAAGGGAUUAGAUACCCCUGUAGUCCUGGCCGUAAACGAUGAACACUAGGUGUCGGGGGAAUCGACCCCCUCGGUGUCGUAGCCAACGCGUUAAGUGUUCCGCCUGGGGAGUACGCACGCAAGUGUGAAACUCGAAGGAAUUGACGGGGGCCCGCACAAGCGGUGGAGUAUGUGGUUUAAUUCGAUGCAACGCGAAGAACCUUACCAGGGUUUGACAUCCUGCGAAUCUCUUGGAAACGAGAGAGUGCCUUCGGGAACGCAGUGACAGGUGGUGCAUGGCUGUCGUCAGCUCGUGUCGUGAGAUGUUGGGUUAAGUCCCGCAACGAGCGCAACCCACGUCUUUAGUUGCCAGCAUUUAGUUGGGCACUCUAGAGAGACCGCCGGUGAUAAACCGGAGGAAGGUGUGGAUGACGUCAAGUCAUCAUGCCCCUUACAUCCUGGGCUACACACGUACUACAAUGCUACGGACAAAGGGCAGCAAGUUCGCGAGGACAAGCAAAUCCCAUAAACCGUGGCUCAGUUCAGAUCGUAGGCUGCAACUCGCCUACGUGAAGGAGGAAUCGCUAGUAAUCGCAGGUCAGCAUACUGCGGUGAAUACGUUCCCGGGCCUUGUACACACCGCCCGCCACACCAUGGAAGUUGGCCACGCCCGAAGCCGUUACUCCAACCCUUGUGGAGGAGGACGUCG
rnacentral:rRNA from 1 species